GCGCGAAAACUUUACAAUGCGGGAAACCGUGAUAGGGGAACUCCGAGUGCCCGUUAAAUCGGGCUGUCCACCAGUUUAAAUAACUGGUGAAGAAAGGGCCGGGCAAGACCGGUGCCAGCCGCCGCGGUAAUACAGGCGGCUCGAGUGGUGGCCACUAUUACUGGGCUUAAAGCGUUCGUAGCUGGGUUGUUAAGUCUCUGGGGAAAUCUUCCGGCUUAACCGGAAGGCGGCGCAGGGAUACUGGCAGACUAGGGACCGGGAGAGGUGAGGGGUACUCCAGGGGUAGGAGUGUAAUCCUGUAAUCCUUGGGGGACCACCUGUGGCGAAGGCGCCUCACCAGAACGGCUCCGACAGUGAGGGGCGAAAGCUGGGGGAGCAAACC
rnacentral:rRNA from 1 species